rnacentral:rRNA from 1 species
AAUGAACGUUGGCGGCGUGGAUUAGGCAUGCAAGUCGAGCGAUGAAACCGUGCUUGCACGGUGGAUUAGCGGCGAAAGGGAGAGUAACGCGUAGGUAUGUACCCUCAGGUUCGGGAUAGCGGCGGGAAACUGCCGGUAAUACCGGAUAAUGUGUCAGCACCAAAGGUGUGAUUCCGCCUGGGGAGCGGCCUGCGUCCUAUUAGGUUGUUGGUGGGGUAAUGGCCUACCAAGCCGAAGAUGGGUACCGGGUGUGAGAGCAUGGCCCGGCUCACUGGGACUGAGACACUGCCCAGACACCUACGGGUGGCUGCAGUCGAGAAUCUUCCGCAAUGGACGAAAGUCUGACGGAGCGACGCCGCGUGCGGGAUGAAGGCCUUCGGGUUGUAAACCGCUGUCAGAGAGGCGGAAAUGCAUAGUGGUUAUCCUCUAUGUUUGACCUAAUCUCAGAGGAAGCGCAGGCUAAGUUCGUGCCAGCCGCCGCCGUAACAC